GAUACUAAGCUGCUUUGCAGAUGGCCAGGCUGGCAUUGGCUGCUGUGUGUACAGAGUGCUGCUGGCCCCUCCAGCCUCACCAUCAGGCUGGCUUUCUCCAAAUGUUUCCAUUGUAUGGCUGAAUUUCCUGGCUACUCGAUAUGGAGAAAAAAAUCUUUGGGCAUGUGUGGCUUACCUCAGUCCUGGGGGACAUCAGGUGACUUCUAGUUUGGCUGCUAUGCUCUCAUAAGGAAGCACGGGCAGAGUAGGCACACAGUCUGGGUUUACUUUAGCAAGUGACAGAGCCACUGCCAACUCCAUAACAGAGGGUAGACCAAGCCAUGCUGCAAAGACCUGCCUGUGGUAUCUGGAGAGUCAUGAUGCCAACCAGAGAAAGGAAACUGAUUCUAAGCUGUGUGCCUCUCUUGAAGAUUGGCAGCCAAUUCCAAACUCUGUUCUUUUUAUCUUGCAUGAGAGAAGACAGGAAAUUUGAUCACAGCCUGGAAUACUACACCCAGGAAAAAGAAAACA